AUAUUCAAAACUUAUUCUACAUGAUCAAUUUUGAUUUUACUUACAUGGAGAUCAACAAUUUGUCUUUUAUUUCACCGUGAAAAGCUUGAGCAGAAUUUAAAAAUAAAUCCUGCUCUUUUAUUGUUGUGGAUAUUUUUAAUUAUCAAGCUACAAUCAUUGGUGUUGUUGACGAUUGUUGACAUCUCAUGCAACUGACAGCGGUCUAUCUGCACACUGUGCCCGGGACAUGGUGGCUAUUUUUAAGCUAAGGGAGUUAGAUAGGGAUGUCUAUAGCCUGGUCGCAGUUAUCGAACGGCAUACGCUAACUGAAACGAAAACAUAUUGCAGUUAUUGAACGAAUAGUGCAUUGUGAAAAAGAAAUUCUUGGGAAAUUCUAUUGGUCGAAAGCGACAUCCGGUCGAAAGCGACAUCUGGUCGAAAGCGACAUAGGGGUAGCGGAGGUAAAGUGAACAAGCGGGGUAAGGUGGGAAACGGCUUGUUUAUCCCCUGUUUAUGCAUUUCUCGUAUUAUUUUCCAUGCUACACCAUAAAUCAAGCAUUCCAUGCUCUCCGAGCUAUUUGAAAUCAUGAAAUAUCUAUUUAACAGCUAGAUUUUAGUAAAAUUUUGCGCGCUUUUGCAAAAUGCUAGUUUGAUGUAAUUUCGGCACUGUUGCAUUUAAGCCAUGAAAACUCCGAGUUAGUAGUUCUAAACCAAAAUAUCGUUCACAUCGUUCAUUUGGCUUGUUAUGAAGUGGAACUGGUUGAUGGAUAAUAGUUUUUGCUUUUCUCGUACAGCAAAGUUGUACUGAAAAGCUAUUGAACUACUCAGGGCCGGAUUUAUGGGGGGGGCCGGGGUGGCGUGGCCCCGGGCCCCCACAAAUAUUGUGUACCAAAACCAACCUUUUUUGAACAUUUUGGGGCCUCCACAUACCGUCGGCCCCGGGGCCCCCUUCCGGCUAAAUCCGGCCCUAGAACUACUCCAAAAAACAACUUUUGAUAGAAGGCCCGGAGACUCAUAGUGUUAUAUACCGAUCGACUCAGUUCGACGAAUCGAGGUGAUGUCUGUAUAGGCGUAUGUAUGUGUGUGUUUGUAAGUAAGUGUAUGUAUGUGUGUAUGGGUACAAAUUUUGUAGACACACUUUUUGGAACUUCUUCUUCUUCUUCUUCUUCUUAUUGGCAUUACAUCCCCACACUGGGUCAGAGCCGCCUCGCAGCUUAGUGUUCAUUUAGCAUUUCCACAGUUAUUAACUGCGAGGUUUCUAAGCCAGGUUACCAUUUUUGCAUUCGUAUAUCAUGAGGCUAGCACGAUAAUACUUUUAUGCCCAGGGAAGUCGAGACAAUUUCCAAUCCGAAAAUUGCCUAGACCGGCACCGGGAAUCGAACCCAGCCACCCUCAGCAUGAUCUUGCUUUGUAGUCGCGCGUCUUACCGCACGGCUAAGGAGGGCCCACAAUGGUCAUUUGGAACUUAGCAUUACCCGAUUUACUCGCAACAAGUUGCAUUCGACGGGGAUUGCAAUCCCAUUGUUUGCUAUUGAAAAUUGGCCCGAUCGGACAUUGCAUUUUGGAAUUAUUGAAAAAUCAUUGUUUUUUCCCAAGGGUCCCCCCUUGGAAAACAAAUUUCAAAACCGAAAAAAAAAACUUCAAGAAUGGUGGCAAUGCAUAGUAAUUAAUGCAAAAACAUGCAAAAUGUUAGAAAAUAUGUGAUCUACUCCCCUAAAGUGCUUUUUUUUUACCUUUCUUAUGUGAUUUUUUCAGUACAUUUUACGAAGACGAUUCCAAUUUCCAGAUUACGGCAGAGGAGCCAACGUUUCAUUCACUUUAAUAAUACACAGAGAAAACAAAAAUGGUUUUCAUAAAUGUUUUACACUUUACAUUUAAAAGUUGAUUUGUUUUCCUAAAAUUAAAAGUUCUUUUUUUACUUUGGAAGUUAUAUUUUCAAUUUGAAAGUGUUUUUUAUCUGCACUCAGUGUAAAUUUAAAAGUUUUUUCUUUCAGUGUAAGAAAUAUAGAAAUGUCAAAUCCACAAAAAAAUAUUUGCGCGAAAGUAGCCAUCAAAACAGAGUGCAAAACAAAAUCAAAAUUCACCUCCCACUCCAAAAUUAGUUUAAAAUGUCCGCAGCGCAGGAGCUAAUUUUUAUUUCCGGAUUGCUAAGAAAGACUACAUUGAAAAUAUUGAACGAAAGGCUAUUGGAAAUGGCUCAUUCGUACCGCAGUUUGCCGUCUCCCGCCAUGAUAAGUGAUCAUUGAUCACCACGUAACGGUUUACUCCCUGCCGCAAAACUCAAGUGUAUGCUGAAUCGGAAGCUCCAUGCUACGAUAAACCGAAGUGUUUGCAGUGACCCGCAGUGAUUCGCCCUACGGGGAAUGUCGAUCUUAUUGAAGCUUUCCUUUUUCCUGUUGGAUCAGCUAAUCGAAAAAAUGCGACAGUAUGGUUCCUGAAAGACCAGCUUGUACUGUGGAACGGGAAGUUGACCAUCCUUGACCUGAACCUGGAUGUUCAUCAGCGUUGACAAUGGAAUUGGUGUCGAAAAGUACAAACGGCCAGGCGACCGCAGUGAUUCUGAGGAAAUCGCGGAUCGAGACCAUCAGCGUCGGAGGACAGCCAGGAGAGGAAUCUCGUUUUUCAAAAUUGAAAAUGAUUGGAAAUAAAAUUCAAUAUUUCUCCUUUCUUCAAAAUUUGUCAUGUUUUGAUUAUUCUAAUAAGAAUAUUACCCAUAUUACCAUUUGAAACAAACAAUAU